AGAGCAUUCACUUAGGGUGUGGAAGAAAUAAGUUGGGGAGAACGAAAAAGAAUUGGUAAGUACCACAACUCUUGAAAAAGAAAAGAAAAACCGAGCAAGCAUAGAAAAAUAUAUGUAUAGAAAAUGUAGAAAAUAAACAUCUGUUUUGUAUAUUUGAUGUGAAAGAAAAGAACAAAAAUAGAAAGAAUGAAAAAAAAAAUGCUUGCUUGGAAGAAAAAUAGUGAAAAAUAAAAGUGGAGUUGUGGAAUAUGUGUUGUGAAGGUUACAAAUAAGAAACAAAGGAAACAAAGUCGAGUAGUGUGAAUAAUACUGUGAAUGUCUCUUUUGCAUCGGCACUUUCGUUUCAAUGGCCUUAGAAAUGACCCUUGUUUGUUAACCUGACCAAGCUUCAACCGAAAAGCCCUUAGUGAUCUUUAUGCUUCCACAGUACCAUUUUUAAUUGAUUAGACAUUGUAUGAAUCUGUUUGAUUUCUUCAUUAUUUGUUAGAGAGUGAGAUUAG
rnacentral:lncRNA from 1 species